rnacentral:rRNA from 1 species
UACGUAGGUGGCAAGCGUUAUCCGGAAUUAUUGGGCGUAAAGAGCGCGCAGGUGGUUGAUUAAGUCUGAUGUGAAAGCCCACGGCUUAACCGUGGAGGGUCAUUGGAAACUGGUCGACUUGAGUGCAGAAGAGGGAAGUGGAAUUCCAUGUGUAGCGGUGAAAUGCGUAGAGAUAUGGAGGAACACCAGUGGCGAAGGCGGCCUCCUGGACCAUUCCUGACACUCAGACGCGAAAGCUAGGGUAGCAAACGGGAUUAGAUACCCGCGUA